GACGGAGGAUGCAAGCGUUAUCCGGAAUGAUUGGGCGUAAAGCGUCCGCAGGUGGCAGUUCAAGUCUGCUGUCAAAGACCGGGGCUUAACUUCGGAAAGGCAGUGGAAACUGAACAGCUAGAGUAUGGUAGGGGCAGAGGGAAUUCCUGGUGUAGCGGUGAAAUGCGCAGAUAUCAGGAGGAACACCAAUGGCGAAGGCAGCACUCUGGGACGUGACUGACGCUGAGACGCGAAAGCCAGGGGAGCGAACGGG
rnacentral:rRNA from 1 species